GGUAUUUUAGCAUGUCGCAAUCAGGGUUGAUAUUUGUUGACACUCUUGAGUGAAAGUGAAAAAAAGCAUCCAUAAACGUUAUUUUUUUACAAUCCUUUCAGAGUUCUCCCUUCCCGCUUUUUGCAUGGAAGUGAACUGUCAAAACACCUCAUUAUAUUUCAUGCGAUGAAAGCAAGACAACAAAAUAAGUUUAUUAGUUAACGAAGAUUGUCAAGGCAUCGGUCAGUGUCAGUGAAAAAGUGUUUCGGUGAGGUUUAUUUUGGUUGAGUGGACUGUUUGUUUUUCUUUUUCGCUUUGAAGUGAGGAUCAUUUGGUUGGAUUUGUCGUCAAAUUUUAUUCCGUAACCAUGAACGAUGCGCGCGAUCUAUUUCAUCUGAGUAUAACAGCACGUUCGUAGGACGAAAAUCUAGUGUAUCUGAAAGAGUGCUGCGAUCAUUGGAAGUGAAAAUUGAAAAUGAUUGGUUGUAAUUUUCGAAGAAUUUUGCUGGGGAAAAUGACUUUUAUCAGCACUGGUCGCAAUACGCAGUAUGGUGGCGCUGAGAACACUUCUCGACUAACAUUUGAAAAGGCAAUAACAGCCACUGUCAUGAAACAGAGAAAACUGAAGUCGAAGUUUCGUAUCUGAAAUUUAAAUCCUAUUUUAACGUUUCAUACGAUGAGUUGUGUUUUUUUAUUGAAGAUUAAAAAGCUGGUAGUAUCAUCUACUGUUUACUAACACGAAACUGUAAAAAAACAGUUUUAGGUGAGAAAUGAACAGAAAAUAUAAUUACGCCAUAAUUAUAAUGUAGUAGCACUUAUGCCAUGAUGUUUCUUCUGUUAUCUGCCAACACUAGAUAUACGCCUAUGAAUAACAGCAAAAAAACUUUUCAGUGUACUUUUACGCCCUGGCUUUUAUGUCAGGUUGAUUGUAAAUAUGGACUUUCGUCCUUUUGAUCAAUACAAAUAAAAUACGUGAUUCAAGGUUAUUUUUUUUUAUUCUCGCUUAUUUUCCGUCGGUCUAGUUCCGCCACUGUUGUGGCCAAUCACCGACGCCCAGGGAGGCGACUCCACACCCAGGACCCUAACUCACGACCCGUUUAUUAACGGACCGGCGCCAACGGCUUUACUUCCUCAUGCGAUGGAAGGCGUGAUCCCAGAAAUUUUUCGCCUCAGAAAAUCUCCCGAUGUCGCCUAGAAUUGAAUCUAGACCAGUUGGGUUGGUUGUGCGUGGAUCACGCCACCUCACAACCAUCGACACCUAUGUCGGCGGUGGGAUUCGAACCCAGGCGUCGAGCGUGGUUGGCGGAGACGUUACCAACCACACUAGGCCCCCGCUCACAAGAAGGUUUUAUAAAACAGAAGUUCUAUUUCAUAAAAAAAUAUUAAUACACAAGAUAAACAAGAUAUUCCGCCAUCUCGGAAGGAGAUACGUUGAUUGUGACUAACAAUUCGGAUAUAACCACAAUGAAAAUACUUAUUAGGAUCUGAUGUAUACCCACUGGAAAAUAAACUACUUUUGUUGUUCUUCAACAAAAAAUCCAUUCCCUGAUAUGUUGAAAUCAAUAAAAGCAAUGACUGCUACUGAGCAUUACUCAAUGUAGAGACGACAUUCUUCGCUUGUAGCUUUAUCAACAGCUUCUGGGAAAAUAUUAAAAACCUAAUAUAUAUAUUUUUACAAGCACCAAGUAUGUGUAUCAUACCGACUCAGGGGACUGUUACCGUCAAAGUUUUGCCUACCAAUCAUAAAUUUAUUAUAGCAUUAAAGUUUUAUUUAAAAUGCUCACACACUAUAUCUUAUUUAUUGAAAGUGCUCAUUGUACUGAUAACAAACGUUUAGCUUUGGUUUUUUUCCUUCUAAAAACAUGUUCGAUAAUAAGUCGCAUACGCUGUAACAACCAACUUGAAUUGGUGAAAGGCAGUAACUUGAGGGCAUAAUUCCAAUGAUGCCAGUUUAAAUACGAAGAAUGACGAUGUAACAACACGGUUGUGUAUAAUUAUAGGAUAUGAACCAUAACAACACAUGAUAAACUUUUGCACACAAAAGUUCACUAAAAUGCUUACCAAUCAAUGCUAACCGAUAAGUCACGUUUUUUGAGUAUGUUGCACCAUUUUUUUGAAGGAAAAAUAUGUGGCGUAACAACAAUGUAACGUGGUACUCAAAAAGUGGAAAUAUGUCUUUUGAGAAAUAAUGUUUAUUUGCAGAAUUUUGGCACUAUUUGUUAAAUCAGACUAUAGAAUUGCCAUUUUUGUUUCAUAUUAUUGAAUAAACUCAAUUUGCUUCAAUUUGGCGUUUACGCCCUUUUCAAAUGUUACUCUAGACUUAGUAGUCAAUGAUUCGAUAAUCUUUUCGUAUUAUCGCAAUAGGAAGGGUUGUGGUUUUUAAUGUAGAUAUUUCGAGCAGUCGUAAUUUGUACACUGAGAGAAAAACACUGAAGAAUUCCAUAAGUUACAACUUAUGAACAUGUAUAAUGUUGAUUUCAUUAAACACUUAUGCAUUACAUAUCAAGCUUAUAAAUUUCAUAAGUAUAUUUUAAGAUUUUCAUAUAAACGUCAUGUGCAUCCCAUACGCGUAGCUUAUGAUUUUCAUAAACGUUAACAUUGUGAAAAUUCUAUAUGCAUAUCUUAUAAAAUCUGCAAAAUGGCAGACCAGCAUUACGGUGGAUAAAUAAUUAUGCAGAAACUGGGUUGAAAAUUGGAGCAAAAAACUCAACUAAUAAUUCGUGUGAUCGUUGAAGAGGAUAACACUGACGACAUUCGGCAAGAAGAAUCAAAGGCGAAUUUAUUUCCCGAAUGGCAAAACUUCAAUGUGUUACCUGACGUAAUCCUAUAC